UCACUCACUGCAGGCCCAAAUCCUGCAAAAGCCAAGCCACGUUCCCUGAGCAGGGAAUGCAAACUCAGACCGACAACAUUGAACUUCAAAAGAUUGCGCACAGGGGAGGAAGGGCUGGGGGUGUCAGCGUGCAGCAAGCCAGAAGGCUGCCUCGUUUAUUUUCCUCAUUUAGGAAACGUUUCGAUUAAUACCCCUUUCCCUUCCCUGAUUUCGAAAAAUAAAAAUAAAAAGCGGUCCGGAGAAUGAGAACACAGGAUGAAGAGGAAAAGGGCGCUCUCGUUCCCUCCCGGCUUCCCUCGCCGGCGUGGAGCAGCUGCCCGGGUUCUUCGUCCCCCCGGAGCGCAGCGAGGGCCGCCGGCGCCCAGGCCUGGAGAAGCUUCAGCAUCGCAACGCCUCCAGACCUCCCACUCCCCGCCCCGGCCCGGGUAAACGUCCUCGGUGACCUUUCGAGUUUUCAGUUUAAUCAGUGGUAUCACUUUGAAGAGGAAAGUCCUCUCGACGCUCCCCGCUGGCAGAGAUCCGGGCCGUGCUCCGCCCCUGCACCGCACGGGCCGGGGGCGGCCGCUGCGCUCUGGGGCAGGGCCAGCGCCGGGGCCGCGGCUGGAACGCCCUCCCGCUCCGGCAGCAGCUGCCCCGGGCCCAGGCUGACUGGACCGGGCGCCGCCCGCGGGUCCCCGACCGGUUCCCCGCAGGCUGACCUGCAUCCCGGGCCCGCGCACUGCGUGUCCCCGCGGCGGGGGCCAAGGGCGACCGGGCCUGAGCUCACCCCUCCAGGGCCCAGGGCGAGGACGCGGCGUCAGCCGAGCCGGGCUGCCUGGUCCUCUGUGGUCCCGUUUCUUGGCAGCACGUUAGGAACACUGCACCCCUGGAAGAGAACCGCAGAAUGUUAAAGUCACAGGCUCCUUGCAGGGCCUCCGCGCGAUGCCGCCCUUUUACAGAUGAGGAAACUGAGGCCCAACGAGGCAAUGACAAAGGCACCAAGCUGCGCUUCUGGGUUUCAAGAGCUGGGACCAGAUCCAGCUGGUGUUGGCAGGGUUUAGGCUGUCCUCCAGGGAGCAUUUAUCACGCAUCUGGACACUGCGCUCCAUGAACGUGUGGCAGCGAGUUACACGUAGGAGGCAGUGACUGUGGCCGCCCCGGCCUCGGGCACAGAAGCACGUGGGCCUGGGUCUGACGCCCUGCACGACUUGGUGAUGUGCCGGACUGAGUUACUGGUUGGAUGGCCUUAGUGAGGGAGUUAACCUGUUCAUGCCCUCCUUUCCUGGUCUGCAAAACAGUGGUAAAAAAACAGGCUAGGGUCCUGGCAUUUAAAUAAGAUGAGGUACAAAUUGCUUAGCACGGUCCCAGCAUAUGGAAGGCGCUCAAAUAAAUAUUCCUGUGAGGUUUUGGGAAGUAGAAAGUGGCGGGCACGUAGGCGUUCAGGAGACAAUCAUGAACCUGGUUUCCAGACAGAAGUCAUGCGGAACUUGUCAAGAGGCAAGGUGCUUUCCCACGUGCGGCACCUGGGGAGACCCGCACAGCGUUACAGAGCCUGGCUGCCUGGGAGAGGAGGAAAUGGCUCUGUUAGUCUUCCCUCCAGCUAUUCUUGCCCUGCUACCUCCCUCCAACUCUCCCUGUGACUCAUGGUGGCUGCAGAGAGACAUCCCAGACAUCCGGACCUCUUAGCAGGAGUAUAUGAACUUAGUCUACUCAAAGCAUUCGUCUGCCUAAGAAGAAAUGAAAAUUCUUCUAGAUGGCAUGCAAAGAGAGAGAAAAGGUAACACUCAGCUGCUGACAUUCAGAAGUAGAGUUUCAGAGUAAGGCAGUCGCCAUGGAAUUCAAGCUCUUACCUUGAAGAUGGAUAUUCCAUUACCUUCCUCUUCAGAGGAUUGAGGUCUGAGUUUUGGGAGAUUAUACCUCGGGGGGUUACGUAUGGGAGGCCUAGAGAGGGAGAAAGGGGGAGAGGGGAUUGUGUAAAGACAGAAGCAACAAAAUAAGACAAGAGGCUGGAAGGAAAGAUUGUGUCGGGAAAGUAUUGAGUAACCGCAUGGCAGAGGAAGACCUUAUCCCCAUACCCCCUCCAGGAUUAUGAAAGGAAGAGCCUAGUGUUGGUCUGGCAGAGGGAGACUAUUAUGGACUUGGAAGCUGUGCUAGAUCCCCAUGUAGCCCAGACUGUAUGCAGACCUAUCAGCAAGUCUGUGGCCAGCUUACUAGAGGUGACUACUGUAGCAAGGGGACUUAGUGGUGUGGGCUGCCAAGUAGACCCCUGGAACCAACUAGGAGGAAGGUCACAGCCAGAAGUCAGAGAGUCUUUAACAGCUGGAAGAACAGAGAAGAAACUAAGCCAGCCAGGGAGCACCUUUGGGAGCACGGCCUCAGGCUGCCUCAGAGGGAAUCCAAGCUCUCCAUCCACAGAUGUCCACGUCAGAGGCUGGUGGUGCACUCAAGACAGGGGAUAUGCCCAAGGACCAGUGCAAGGCCAAGUGUUCCCUUCCUCUCAACACCGUAAGGACACAUAAGCCGCACACUUCCCUGCCACUUCUAUCCAAUAUACCCUGCAGGGAUGAUGGUCAAAACAUUUAAAAAUCUCUACAAGCUCAGGUACUGAUGAGUCUGAAUGGAGAUGUCCCGCUAUGUCCAGCCUUAGCCUUUUAGUGGAUGUAUUAUGGGGGGUUUAGGGAUAAGUUCCAGGGAAGAGACAAUGGAGGGGGCUCAGAGACUUCAGGGCAGAAUCUAUUUACCAUCUGCUCCAUGUAUCUUUCAGUAUUUUACCAACCAAGUCAGCCAUCGUGGCAUGUGCCUGUUGAAUAUUGACUGUGGCUCCACACCGUGGGUCCUCCUCUUUUGGGGGAGAGUAGGAGACGAGGGGAGUCAUUUGAGAAAGAAAAACUGUCGUUCAUCACAAUAAGGGGAAGUAAACUCAUCACACCCUGGCAUCUGAGGCGCACAGUUAGUUCAGCAGGGGCUGGAGGCCUCUGCAUGAGGAAUCCCAGCUCCAACUUUGACAAGAGAGUAGGCAUGUCUCCCCCUUGACAGGAACGAUGUGUGAAAUGAACGACCUUAGGUGCUGUAUUGAUUCUUGACAGUUCUUCAGAAGAAAGCACUUCCUGCCUGUUCUGCUCAAUCCUGGUGCAGGUGAGUCACCCCAUUGCCAGCCACGCAAGUAUUUUAAGAAACAGGAAAUCUAAGCUGAAACCAGCAGAGAAAGAUGAGGGAUGGAUUAUCGCCAUUAGCUUUGAUGGUGUCUUGUUGUCAUGGUGCUAGGAAAAUCACUAUCAUUUAGAGUCCCACUCACCAGCUGUUUUGCUAGAAUUUUUGCCAUGGGAGGCUGGUGGCCACCCAACACAGGCGUGGGACACCGGUGUGCACACAUGCAUGCACCUCCAUCAGGCUCCCACUCUAGAGGGCUCACGUUGGGUGUCUGGGUCGUGGUUGACAGACUGUACCAUAUGUAUCACGACCCCAUUUCCCUGGAUCAGCUUGCAGGGAGCCAGCAUGAAUCUGCCAGUCACCCACCUCAUGUGACAUCCCUGGAAACUUUGGAACAGAGUCAGUGACUGCAUGAAGCCACCUCGCUCUCUGCUCCCAGCUUCAGCGUUUGGCUCUGAGAAAUGCCAGUGUUGCCCGUCUCUUGAACAUUGUUUCAAAGUUCAGGUCUUCUGUCAUUCUGGGGGCAGAGGGGACUUCGAGGUCUGCCAGGAGUUGGGGGGUGGGAGUCGAGGAAUGCUGCCCAAGAGCAAUGACUAGAACCCGCUGGUGGGCUGCAUCCCACAGCUGGCAUUGCUGGGAAGACAACCUCCUGCAUCUCCACGACAGAGCUCCCUGUAUGCGCCCUGAAGGGGGGGAGCUACGGGCGCCAGCUCUAAAUGGGAAAGCAGGUUGUCCGCUUUCCCAGACGGUCACGGUCCCCUAGGGAGAAGCCAUCAGACUGCAUGGGGCCCCCAGACCUCAUAUCGGGCUGCCUCCCUCGCACCCCUCCCCUGCUCUUCUCUCAGCUGCCCUUACCUGGGGGACUGCAACGGUGGAGGGGGUAUAAACUGGGGGGCUACUUUUCUAUCUAGCAUUUCCUGAGUCCCCUUAAUUAAACCUUUAUAUGAAGUGAAAAACAAACAAGCUCCAUUCCCGGCCACUGUGUCCGCUCCCCCAGAUUCUGACUCAAGGGCUAGGAGCACACUUGCAUUCAAGUAAGUCAAUUUGCAGGUGUUCCCGGACCAUGGUUUAGAAAACACUGGGGCAGAAACAAGGCAGCAAGCACGUGGGAUACAGCUGGUGUGAGCAGUAAUUCAUCUAGCUUCUGAAAAUGUUAUCAGGGGCUGGCUUGUGCCCCCCCAAAUCCAUAUGCUCUAACUCUCAGUACCUCAGAAUGUGACAUACGUGGACAUAAAGCCUUUAAAGGGGUCAUUAAGUUAAAUGAGGUGAUUGGGGUGGACCCCAAUCCAGUGUAGCUGGUGUCCUUAGAGGAAGAACAUAUUAAGAUGCAAACGUAUAUGAAGGGAAGAAUGCGUGAAUCCAGAGGGAGAAGACGGCCAGCUGAAAGCCCAAGAGAGGCUUCAGGGGAAAAGCAGCCCUGCGGACGGUGUGAUCACAGACUUCCAGCCUCCAGAACUGAGGGAAAGUGAAUUUCUGCUACUUAAGCUGCCCAGUCUGUGAUAUUUUAUAUGGUAGCCUGGGGUGACUCAUAAGAACAGAAGCCUGAUGUCACUUAGUAGGGAUCUCAGAGGGUCGCAUUGAUUCAGCAUAGUCUGUAAACAAAGCUGGUUUAUGAACCGAAGGACAGCAGCUCCAGACCUGGAAGGGCAGAGGCUAUGGGAUGUGCACGGCAGCACAGCUUCUGCGGUCAGACGUCCCUGUGUUCAAAGACCAGAACUUUCUUCCCUGGCUCACAACCUGGAGGACUUUAGACCAGAUAGCUAUUACUACUUUAUUUGACAAAUAUGUAUAUAGUACUUAUUAUGUGCCAGAAUAUUCUAAGCACUGAAAAAAUAUCAGCUCCUGGGGCAGCGCCUGUGGCUCAAGGGAGUAGGGUGCCAGCACCAUAUGCUGGAGGUGGCGGGUUCAAACCCAGCCCCGGCCAAAAACUGGAAAAAAAAAAAAUUAGC